GACGAACGCUGGCGGCGUGCUUAACACAUGCAAGUCGAACGAAGAGCGAUGGAAGCUUGCUUCUAUCAAUCUUAGUGGCGAACGGGUGAGUAACGCGUAAUCAACCUGCCCUUCAGAGGGGGACAACAGUUGGAAACGACUGCUAAUACCGCAUACGAUCUAAUCUCGGCAUCGAGGAUAGAUGAAAGGUGGCCUCUACAUGUAAGCUAUCACUGAAGGAGGGGAUUGCGUCUGAUUAGCUAGUUGGAGGGGUAACGGCCCACCAAGGCGAUGAUCAGUAGCCGGUCUGAGAGGAUGAACGGCCACAUUGGGACUGAGACACGGCCCAGACUCCUACGGGAGGCAGCAGUGGGGAAUCUUCCGCAAUGGACGAAAGUCUGACGGAGCAACGCCGCGCGAGUGAUGACGGCCUUCGGGUUGUAAAGCUCUGUUAAUCGGGACGAAAGGCCUUCUUGCGAAUAGUGAGAAGGAUUGACGGUACCGGAAUAGAAAGCCACGGCUAACUACGU
rnacentral:rRNA from 1 species